CCAGGUGAUCUUAUGGAGACCUCAGUUCUCCCACACGGACUCCUCUCUCACUCCAGGCUGGGUGAAAGGGCAUGAGUCUGUCUGGGAAGCCAUUUCUCCCUGUCCAUAGCCUGUCCAGUUCCUGUUGCGACCUCAGCUGCCAUCCUUUCUUAUCUCCUGCUGUAUCCAAGACAACCGACAGCUCCUAUGAGGCAGUGAGAAGAGAAAGGUGCGGCAGACAGGGUCAGUUCAACAGUCAGAGCUUCCCGGCUGAGGCAGCCACCUGCUCUGUCUGAGGAUCUCAUGGUGGGAGGGAGCAGACUGGGCUGUUUGUGAAAUUCAAGGAGGUAUGGUGGUGGUGGCAGGGGGCUUUAAAGGCACUGAAAAAGAAGCUUCUUUAAACACCAGUGCCCCAAGCUCUGGCUGAGCCAGCCUUUAUUGAGAGUUGGGAACUGUAUGAGUGUAGAAUCAGAAGAACUGGGUUGCAUGCCUUCCUCCAGCCUGACCAGCUGUGUGAACUCAGGGCAUUUGGACUCAGAACAUUCACUGCCUCAGGGGACAGACGACCCACCAGAAGUUAGAAGUUGGUUCUUGUCUUCUGAGUGUCAAACACUGAUGCCUGUGUUUGGAGGAUCUGGGAACAGAGAGGACCUCCCCGUCCCCAGGCUAGAGGCUGAGGAGUUGGAAAAGACUCCAGUCUAUUCCCAGAGCAAGUGUAGCAUUGACUGCCUGGAGACUCAGAGCACAGUCCUAGGGCAGCCUUGA
rnacentral:lncRNA from 1 species